AAAAUGCGAUAAGUAAUGUGAAUUGCAGAAUUCAGUGAAUCAUCGAAUCUUUGAACGCACAUUGCGCCCGCCAGUAUUCUGGCGGGCAUGCCUUUUCGAGCGUCAUUUCAACCCUCAAGCCCCCGGGUUUGGUGUUGGGGAUCGGGCUGCGGUUCUACCGCGUCCCGGCCCCGAAAUCUAGUGGCGGUCUCGCUGCAGCCUCCAUUGCGUAGUAGCUAACACCUCGCAACUGGAACGCGGCGCGGCCAAGCCGUUAAACCCCCAACUUCUGAAUGUUGACCUCGGAUCAGGUAGGAAUACCCGCUGAACUUAAGC
rnacentral:misc_RNA from 1 species